rnacentral:rRNA from 1 species
GACGAACGCGGCGGCGUGCCUAAUACAUGCAAGUCGAACGCUUCUUUCCUCCCGAGUGCUUGCGCUCAAUUGGAAAGAGGAGUGGCGGACGGGUGAGUAACACGUGGGUAACCUACCCAUCAGAGGGGGAUAACACUUGGAAACAGGUGCUAAUACCGCAUAACAGUUUAUGCCGCAUGGCAUAAGAGUGAAAGGCGCUUUCGGGUGUCGCUGAUGGAUGGACCCGCGGUGCAUUAGCUAGUUGGUGAGGUAACGGCUCACCAAGGCCACGAUGCAUAGCCGACCUGAGAGGGUGAUCGGCCACACUGGGACUGAGACACGGCCCAGACUCCUACGGGAGGCAGCAGUAGGGAAUCUUCGGCAAUGGACGAAAGUCUGACCGAGCAACGCCGCGUGAGUGAAGAAGGUUUUCGGAUCGUAAAACUCUGU